AUGGAGUCUCUUGCUCUGUCACCCUGGCUGGAGUACAGUGGAGUGAUCUCAGCUCACUGAAACCUCCGUCUCCCAGGUUCAAGCAAUUCUCCUGCCUCAGCCUCCUGAGUAGCUGGGAUUACAGGGGUGUGCCACCACACCUGGCUAAUUUUUGUAUUUUCAGUAGAGAUGGGUUUUCACCAUGUUGGCCAGGAUGGUCUCGAUCUCUUGACCUCGUGAUCCACCGACCUUGGCCUUCCAAAGUGCUGGGAUUACAGGUGUGAGCCACCGUGCCUGGCAAGCUUAUUUGCAAAGCAUCAUCUAAAACCCUAGAAAGGAGGUGACAUUAUUAUUCCCAUUUUAAAUUUUAUUGUAUGUAUGUAUUUAUUUACUUACUUAUUUACUUACUUUAUUUUUACUUUCCAGACAGGGUCUCUCUUUGUUGCCUAGGCUGGAGUGCAGUGGAACGAACUUGGCUUAUUGAAGCAUUGACCACCUGGACCCAAGUGAUUCUCCUACCUUAGCCUCUUGAAUAGCUGUGACAACAGGUGUGCACUACCACACCCAGAUAAAUUUUGUAAUUUUUAUAGAGAGGGCAUUUGACCAUGUUGCCCAGGCUGGUCUCAAACUCCUGAGCUCAAGUGAUACUCCUGCCUCGGCCUCCCAAAGUGCUGGGAUUACAGAUGAAGAAAAUGAGGCACUGAGAGAUUACAUAACUUCCCUUGAGUCAUAUUUGCUUGUAAGUGGUAAGGCUGGAUGUUGAACCCAGGACAAAGGGUCUCACUCUGUCGCCCAGUCUGGAGUGCAAUGGUGUGAUCACGGUCACUGCAACCUCUGCCUCCCGGGUUCAAGCGAUUCUCCUGCCUCAGCCUCCCAAGUAGCUGGGAUUACAGCGGCUUGCAGUAAACUUCUUGGAGGAGAAUUGGCAUUGCAAGGGUGUUACUGGAGACCUCGGCAAGAAAGUGAAUGCAAAGACAGAUGACCCAGGAACCCGUGAUGGAUAAGGCUCUUGACAGCCAGGACGUGGAAUUACAGGGGGUCUCUUUGAGAGACAAAAUAAAAAAAAUAGCCCAGUAAUCUUCCUUCCACCCUUUUCUCCCAGAUCUAAUUACAGAUGUCUUGACAUUCCUUCUGCAUAGAAUUUCCUUAAAAGAUUUGCCAAGAAGAAACAUUUGGAAACUGUGUUUUAGGUAUAAUCCGUCUGGGAGUCACUCUUGCUCGCUUUGUCGUUAGAUGACAAAACGCUUAAUUACAGCGAGCACAAUGUAUACCACAUUUGGAAAACUGGAUUCUUGACCUAAAUAAUGUACCCCAUACUGACAAUGGCCUUUUGGCAAAACUUGUGUCUCUGAUCUCACAUUAAUUACUACACAAAUAUACUUAUUGUGGGCACCGAGUUUAUGGGAUGGAGUCCUCUUGACACAUGUUCACCAUAAAAACACAUUUUUUUCCCUUCCCCUGACCCUAAGGAAAAGAAAAAAAAAAAGAUUAACAUUUUUCAAGAUGCUGUUUUAGUGACAUGAAAACUGUCUGUUGAGUGUUCACUCGGCUUUUGUUCUUUUUCUUUUCUCCUUUUAUUAAAAAGCCUUUCAAACCAAGCAUUCCUGGUUUGUGAUUCUUUACUUUUGCUUUUAUGCUGAGGGAGAGACAGAUUAGAUUAGAUUAAAGACCAAGGGACACCUCGUGAAAUACAUUCCAUCUAGAGGCAAUUUGGUUGAGAGGGCCAAUUGUGUGUGUGUGUGCCUGUGUGCGUGCAGGCGUGCGUGUUUCUCCUUGUGGCAUACUGGUGGUCUUUUUACAGAUACAGAGUUCUGGUUUUUGGAAAUGCGUUUAUUCCUUUAGCCUUUUUCCCUUCAGAAGCCUGCAGCCUUUGAUUGUGGCCUGACUUUUAGGGGUCUGCGGCAUUUUGGGGGGUAGUAAAUCUUAUUAACUCUUCCCUUUAGUGUCUCGCCAUUCUCAAAAACUUUUACAAAAAGCAGCAACACCGCCCUCACCAAAGACAGAUGAAAGGAGCGGUUUCAAAG
rnacentral:lncRNA from 1 species